CUCCAGAUGUCUUGGACUGUAACUCCCAUCAGACUCAGCCAGGUACUGGCUGGGACUGAUGGGAGUUGUAGUUCAAAGCUCCCGGAG